rnacentral:rRNA from 1 species
GGAUAACCGCUGAAAGCAUCUAAGCGGGAAGCCCCUCCCAAGAUGAGGUCUCACUGAGGACUUGAUCCUCCUAAAGGGCCCUGGAAGACUACCAGGUUGAUAGGCUGGGUGUGGAAGUGCAGCAAUGCAUGAAGCUAACCAGUACUAAUUGCCCGUGAGGCUUGGUCAUAUAACACCAAAGC